GAUGAACGCUGGCGGCGCGCCUAACACAUGCAAGUCGAACGAUUAAGACACCUUCGGGUGUGUAUAAAGUGGCGAACGGCUGAGUAACACGUGGGCAACCUACCCCUCUCUCUGGGAUAGCCUCGAGAAAUCGUGGGUAAUACCGGAUACUCCGGAACCACCGCAUGGUGGAUCCGGGAAAGCUCCGACGGUGAGGGAUGGGCCCGCGGCCUGUUAGCUUGUUGGUGGGGUAACGGCCUACCAAGGCAAUUAUGGGUAGCUGGGUUGAGAGACCGACCAGCCAGAUUGGGACUGAGACACGGCCCAGACUCC
rnacentral:rRNA from 1 species